CCUUUCUCAAACCAAGUGCCCUUGUCCUGAGCUGAUAUGUGUCUGAGAUACAAGCACGGAUGAGGUUAGGAGCAGCAAUAUCCACAAAUAAGAGCACAGCCUGUUCUCUCUAGAGUUCUCUGGACUCCAGGGGUACAAUCUCAACUGUGCCAUGGUUACCCGACCAGCCCAACCUCUCUGCCACAGCCACUUCCAGUAAAUACACAGAUAAGAGUGAUUUAUUACAGUCUGCUUCAGAAAGAAAGUCAUUCUGCCUGACUACACAACGAUAAGAUAAUGGAUGUAGCCGGUAUCUAAGCAUGCUCCCUAAAGCCAGCUCAAUCCUUCCAACAAGAUAAAGCCGACAAAUUACGCAACAUGAAAAAAACUCGCAGGAGGAGAGCCAGAGAAGGAGAUGAGGAUGUAAAGAAAGAGAGGACACAGAAGAAAGUCAUAUGGGUCGGAACGACAUGAGGAGGAUUGUUGCUGGAAAUAUCUGGAGCAGGUCCGCUGUGACAUAAUUAUUCAAAGGAGCAUGUUGUCUAACCUUCACAAACGGCGCCGAUCAUCCAUUCAGAGCCUCGUGUUUAGGUGGGAGAUGUAGCAGGACCAGGGUUCAGUGUGGGACCUCAGGAGGCAAUGAAGCAAUACGUUUCCAUCUUUCUGAAGGUCACCUGACCUACAUGUGCUGCAGGACGUUGGACACAUUUUUUUUACUGCCAGUUUGUAUAGAUUUAUCAGUGUCACUCCUUAAAAUGUGAAUAAAUUCACAUAUUUAGCUCCUUUUAUAACAUUUGUCAGGGGUGCUUAGUAAGGCAUGAAUCAAAAUAGACUUUGUUUACUUACUAAUACAUGUUUCAGGUGUUUUUGUGCGUCUUUUAUCAGAACAUGUUGUUCUAAACAAAAAUAUGACUUAUUUUUAACUCUGAAUGAUGUUUCUUGACUAUGAGUCAUCCUGUGCUAGUGACGUGUCAUGUUAUGAACAUGUUACGCUAUUGCUGAGAUAUUUUAGUUGUUCUAGAAAUGGCAAUAAAUAAUAUAGGAGAGCACUCGCAUGGGUCCUGGAGAUGCGGAUGACCUAGAAAUACAGUAAAAACACAGGAGAAAAAUAGACAAAGGGUCAUUCAGUUCUCUUCAGCCCAUCACCAUGUGCUCAAAUACGCCGUGGUUUUCAAAGUCACCCAAGACCUGUUGUAAACAGUUCCCUGAGUUGAACCAGUAUGUAAAUAUUCACAAUAACCAUAUACAAGCUGAGUCUUCCACCCACUUAGACUGGCUGAUUGGCAGCUAAAGUGUCUAAUGCUGCAUUCAAGAUCUUUGGAAAUCAUAAUUACAGCAUGAUGUGCGUUCCAAUGAUUUUUGCUAAAGUGAAAUGUUUUUGCUCUAUAAUGUACUUCUGGAAGCAUUUUUGCACUAAUGCAUCACAAUGAAGAGCAAAGGAUGUGCAUUUGGUGAGUAAUCAAUGUUUUUUUGUCAUUCUUGUUUUCACAGAGAAUGAUGGGAAAUGAAGUUUGAUUGCACUAGUCUGUCUACUCAUGUAUCAGCUAAAUUACUAGUUUUCUGGCUAGCUCUAGCAGUUGUUAAUAAACAGUAAUCUAAAUGUGUACAAACUGCGUAAAGAAUAAAAUAAUUUUAUUGAGCAUGGAGCACACUAAACUGAUCGAAAGUGACAGUAAAGGUAUACAUAAUAUUUCUGUUUCACAAAAGAUGUCUACUCCAAAUAAAUGCUGUUAUUUUGAAAGAAUUCAGAAAAUAAAUAUUAAGCACAAAAAACUGUGAACUGUUUUCAAAAUGUAUAAUAACACACAUUUUUCUUGAGCAUCAAAUCAGCAUGUUUGUAUGAUUUCUGAAGCAUCAUGUGACACCGAGUACUGGAGUAAUGAUGCUGAAAAUUCAGCUCUGCAUCACAGGAAUAAAUUAUAUUUUAAAAUAUAUUC